UCCAGCUUAUCGCCGGCAGUCUCCGUAGGGUGCCCACCAUGACGUGAUGGCAACUACGGACAAAGGUUGCGCUCGUUGCGGGACUUAACCCAACACUUCACAGCACGAGCUGACGACAGCCAUGCAGCACCUGUGGAAAGGUCUCUUGCGAGAAGACUGGCUUUCACCAGCUGUCCUAACCAUGUCAAGCCUGGGUAAGGUUCUUCGCGUAGCCUCGAAUUAAACCACAUGCUCCACCGCUUGUGCGGGUCCCCGUCAAUUUCUUUGAGUUUCAGUCUUGCGACCGUACUCCCCAGGUGGUGGAUUUAAUGAGUUAUCGUCGGCAUCGAGGGGAUCAACACCCCCGACACCUAAUCCACAUCGUUUACGGCAAGGACUAC
rnacentral:misc_RNA from 1 species